rnacentral:rRNA from 2 species
UUGAUCCUGGCUCAGGACGAACGCUGGCGGCGUGCCUAAUACAUGCAAGUCGUGCGGACCUUUUAAAAGCUUGCUUUUAAAAGGUUAGCGGCGGACGGGUGAGUAACACGUGGGCAACCUGCCUGUAAGACUGGGAUAACGCCGGGAAACCGGGGCUAAUACCRGAUAGUUUUUUCCUCCGCAUGGAGGAAAAAGGAAAGGCGGCUUCGGCUGCCACUUACAGAUGGGCCCGCGGCGCAUUAGCUAGUUGGCGGGGUAAYGGCCCACCAAGGCAACGAUGCGUAGCCGACCUGAGAGGGUGAUCGGCCACAUUGGGACUGAGACACGGCCCAAACUCCUACGGGAGGCAGCAGUAGGGAAUCUUCCGCAAUGGACGAAAGUCUGACGGAGCAACGCCGCGUGAGUGAAGAAGGCCUUCGGGUCGUAAAACUCUGUUGCCGGGGAAGAACAAGUGCCGUUCGAACAGGGCGGCGCCUUGACGGUACCCGGCCAGAAAGCCACGGCUAACUACGUGCCAGCAGCCGCGGUAAUACGUAGGUGGCAAGCGUUGUCCGGAAUUAUUGGGCGUAAAGCGCGCGCAGGCGGCUUCUUAAGUCUGAUGUGAAAUCUUGCGGCUCAACCGCAAGCGGUCAUUGGAAACUGGGAGGCUUGAGUGCAGAAGAGGAGAGUGGAAUUCCACGUGUAGCGGUGAAAUGCGUAGAGAUGUGGAGGAACACCAGUGGCGAAGGCGGCUCUCUGGUCUGUAACUGACGCUGAGGCGCGAAAGCGUGGGGAGCAAACAGGAUUAGAUACCCUGGUAGUCCACGCCGUAAACGAUGAGUGCUAAGUGUUAGAGGGUUUCCGCCCUUUAGUGC